rnacentral:rRNA from 1 species
UAGGGAAUUUUCGUCAAUGGGCGCAAGCCUGAACGAGCAAUGCCGCGUGAACGAGGAAGGUCUUCGGAUCGUAAAGUUCUGUUGAAGGGGGAAAAGAGCGGAGAGAGGAAAUGCUUUCUGAUUGAUAUUACCCUUCGAGGAAGUCACGGCUAACUACGUGCC